CUGAAAAGCAAGCCUUUCUCACUCUCACCACAUGCCAUUGCCUGUUUUACUGCCCUAAAGAAAGCCAUUGCAUCUGCACCUGCCUUGGGCUUACCAAACUACCAGCUGCCUUUCAAGUUGUUCGUGUCUGAGAAACUGGGCCACGCCUCUGGAGUUCUUACUCAACAACAUGGCUCCAGACAAAGACCCAUUGGCUACUUCUCUUGCAUGCUUGAUCCUGUUGCCAGAGGCAGCC